rnacentral:lncRNA from 1 species
GCUCCCCGGAAGCCUUCGAUGGGCAGAAACUAAUCACAGUGAACUGGCAGCUUUCGCAUCAUAUGCAUUGGCAUUUCCGGCGAGCUUUCUGGCACUUGUGGAUACCUACGAUGUCUUGAAAUCCGGCAUUCCGAACUUUCUCGCAGUUGCCCUCGCUCUUCGGAUUUGUGGAUAUCAGCCUUUAGGAAUACGAAUCGACAGCGGGGACCUGUCGUAUUUAAGUCUUCAAGCGAGGGAAAUCUUGACGACUGUGGAGGCUGUGCUUGGCGCAGAGCGUGCGGGGGGGUUUACCAACCUCAGUAUCACGGCAAGCAACGACAUCAAUGAGGAGGUACUGCACUCCCUCAAUCAACACGGUCAUUCAAUUACUGCAUUCGGAAUAGGCACACAUCUUGUCACUUGUCUUCGGCAACCAGCUCUCGGAUGCGUUUACAAACUUGUUGAAAUCGACGGGGCACCUCGAAUAAAACUUAGCGAGGACGUGCAAAAAAUUACAAUCCCGGGCAGGAAGGAGGCGUAUCGGUUAUACCUCAAGAAUGGCGAGCCCGUUGUUGAUGUUAUGCUUCGGAUAGACGAACCACAACCAAGGGAAGGCGAGCGCAUAUUAUGUCGCCAUCCAUUCAUAUCAUCAAAGCGUGCUUAUGUCCAACCAGCACAUGUUCAACGCCUUCACAACCUUGUCUGGGAUGG